UACGAAGGGGCUAGCGUUGCUCGGAAUCACUGGGCGUAAAGCGCACGUAGGCGGACUCUUAAGUCGGUGGUGAAAUCCUGGAGCUCAACUCCAGAACUGCCUCCGAUACUGCGAGUCUCCGAGUCCGGGAGAGGUGAGUGGAACUGCGAGUGUAGAGGUGAAAUUCGUAGAUAUUCGCAAGAACACCAGUGGCGAAGGCGGCUCACUGGCCCGGUACUGACGCUGAGGUGCGAAAAGCGUGGGGAGCAAACAGGG
rnacentral:rRNA from 1 species